rnacentral:tRNA from 1 species
GGGGCUGUGGCUCAGUGGCAGAGGGCUUGCCUCGCAUGUAUGAGGCACUGGGUUUGAUUCUCAGCACCACA